CUGCCAGCUGCAACAGACAAAUCGCCGAGGCAGGGGAGACGUUCAGGGCAUGGGGAUGCUGAAGCUUGGGGUCCCCAUUCCCGAGCCCAGCCCGAGCGCCGCCUGAGCGUGGCGCAGUUACUUUGGGACAAGCAAGGCACAGUGACUUUGGAGAAUGAAGUAUUUAUGGCAUCCUUAUAUGGAUAAGGCCCAGUGUUGCCUAUAUUCUAUAAGGAGAGCAGGAAGUCACACCCUGGGCCCUGGCCGCUGGAACUGGAGACCCCAGAAAAUCCCCAUGCAGCAGCCACAGCUGUCAAGCCAGAAGUAAGAGCUCAGCACAAACAGGAAUUCAGUUGAAGGGGGCUUUCCUUACUUGCAAUUGUUUGUGCCUAGAUAAUAGGGUAUGGGGACCUGGGCAAGUUACUUAACCUCUUUCCCAUCGCCAGAUGAAAAUAAUAAUGUUGACCACACCAGUUAUCAUGGGGAUGAUGAGCCUGCUGAACAAUGACAAGUGAACUUGAAGAUGAAAACAGUGAAACUGUCAAAAAUAUGUGCCCAUUUAAGGUCAUAGUUCUAGAAGUAUGUGGUAGCUUAAGAUCUCACCUGUAAAACUUCUCUUAGCAGAUCUUUGAGUUGGUGGCUUGGUCACACACAUUUGGUUGAUAUUCAUCCAAGAUGUAAAUUUGCUUAGCACCACCUGUGUACUAGUUUGCUCAUGACUGAACCUGGCUCCUUGGUGAGAAAGGCAGAUUUUUUUCCUUCACUCAGCAGAUAAUCUACAGGGGAACUUGACUUGAAAAAAAUAAUGACCCACUUGUUAAGUGCCAAGAAGAAGGAAUACUGGAUGCUUGCUUGCUUACUUGAUCUAGGUUGUGACUGAUCAGGGAAGGCAUCUGCCUUCAGCUCAGGUUGUGAUCCCAGCAUCCUGGGAUCGAAUCCUGCCUGGAAAUCCCUACUCAGCAGGGAGUCUGCUUCUCCCACUGCCUCUUUUCCCACUCAUGCUCUCAAUUUCUCUCUCACACAUAAAUAAAUAAAAUCUUAGAGAGAGAGAGAGAGAAAGAAAGAAAAAGUCCAGGAUGAAAACGUAUGUCUGAACUAAGCUGAGAUCCUCACCCAGCUGCCAGCUAAAUGUAGCUACAAGUGUGAACCCAGUAGAUCAACAGAAGAACUGCCCAGUGAACUCACAGAAUAAAGAUAUUGUUGUAGUUUUAAGACUCUUAAUUAUUAGGGUGAUCUAUUAUACAAGAAUAGAUAACUUAAUACAAACUUAGGAGGGGGACUAUUUCUGUCUCAAUUUCAAUAGCCAAAUAAACUCACAUUCCAAAAAGUCAAGAAACUCACUCACAUUCACAAAACUAGAGGCAGGGCUAGGUUCUGAACCAUGCCUUUGACAACAAGUCAAGGGUACUUUUCAUUUCAUCAGCACUACCUUGUCCAUCUGCCACAAAAAUGCCAGUCAAGAUGUAGGGUUGAUGUAGAUAGGAGCCACCCCCAGUAACCAUAACAAAUGGUAUUAUGCUACGUAAUUCAUUCCUUGAACUUCUUUGCAGUCUGAAUGUACACUGCAUCCUAUGUGAGAACUCUAUUUACUCCAUGCUACAGUCACGAAGAUCUCCCCAGGAAGUGGGGUGAUCAUAA